rnacentral:lncRNA from 1 species
ACCCAGCGAUCUAUACAAAUCACUUCCCAACAUGGCACUCACUCUUUUAAUCUGAGGCAGAUAACCGGCGCAUCCCGGAGAAGCUUCAGCUCUCAUCUGGGUGACAGAUAAGAAAUUUCAUCGGACAGGUUUCCCUUGUGAUAGACAGAAGUAAUAUCUCCGGCAGCAGGAGUGCUCAACCAUGCAUGAAAGCCCGCUGGAGUCCUGAGUGCAGACAGUGCUAAGAAACAAGGCAGGGCACAGGGCGCUGAUGCUGGCGGUAAACACGUACGAAAGCAGCUCUGCACAGAUGCCUUUGUGAUGAUGAAGAGUCAAAAUGUUGCACUUCAGGGAUUCUCCAGACCUUGCCUGUACUGGGGAAUAAAUUCAGGGAUGAUUUUUAUGGAGAUUUCUGAAGAGACGCCUCGUAUUUCCAUGGGAAAAUAA